rnacentral:ncRNA from 1 species
GUGUUGGGUGAAGGUGGGCUGAGGCAGUGAGCAUUCUGUGGCAGAGCAGCGGCUCAACAGUGGCCCCUAGUGUGAAUGGGGGGGGGGCAAGCCCCAAGUGGCUCUCGCUUCUGGCUCCACUCUGGGGACAGCAUCAGGUGGGGAGUUUGAUUGGGGUGGUACAGCUGUCAAACCAUAAUGCAGGUGUGAUAAGGUGAGCUCAGAAACCUUCCAUGGAGCAGAAGGGCAAAAGUUCGCUUAAUCUUGAUUUUCAGUAUAAAUACAGACCAUGAAAGCAGGGCCUCACAAUCCUUCUGACUUUUUGGGUUUUAAGCAGGAGGUGUCGGAAAAGUUUCCACGGUGAUAACUGGCUUGUGGCGGCCAAGCGUUCAUAGUGAUAUCGUUUUUUGAUUCUUUGAUGUUGGCUCUUCCUAUCAUUGUGAAGCAGAACUCACCAAGUGUUGGAUUGUUCACCCACUAAUAGGGAACGUGAGAUGGGUUUAGACCGUGGUGAGGCAGGUUAGUUUUACCCUACUGAUGACACAUCGUUACACUAGUAAUCCUGCUCGGUACAAAAGGAACAGCAGAUUCAGACAUCUGGGGAAUGUACUUGGCUGAGGAGCCAAUGGGGGAAGCUACCAUCUGUGGGAUUAUGGCUGAAUGCCUCUAAAUCAGAAUCCCCCCCUAAAGGAAAUGAUACUGCAGUGCCGAGGAGCCCCGUUGGGC